rnacentral:rRNA from 1 species
GAUGAACGCUGUCUACAGGCUUAACACAUGCAAGUCGAGGGGAAACGACGGGGAAGCUUGCUUCCCCGGGCGUCGACCGGCGCACGGGUGAGUAACGCGUAUCCAACCUGCCUCUGACUGAGGGAUAACCCGUCGAAAGUCGGCCUAAUACCUCAUGGCAUCGUCUGCGGGCAUCCAACGACGAUUAAAGAUUUCAUCGGUCAGGGAUGGGGAUGCGUCUGAUUAGCUUGUUGGCGGGGUAACGGCCCACCAAGGCUACGAUCAGUAGGGGUUCUGAGAGGAAGGUCCCCCACAUUGGAACUGAGACACGGUCCAAACUCCUACGGGAGGCAGCAGUGAGGAAUAUUGGUCAAUGGGCGGGAGCCUGAACCAGCCAAGUAGCGUGCAGGAUGACGGCCCUAUGGGUUGUAAACUGCUUUUAUGCGGGGAUAAAGUGAGGGACGUGUCCUUCAUUGCAGGUACCGCAUGAAUAAGGACCGGCUAAUUCCGUG